GAAAAGAAGAUGUGAUGAGCUGACUGAAAAAGCAGAAAGCAAAUGAAUGUCUGUUUGGACUCUCAUUCUGACGGCACCCAUUUACUGCAGAGGAUCCAUUGGUGAGACACUGAUGGAAUGACACAUUUCUACAAAUCUGAUGAGGGAACAGACUCAUCUUGGAUGGCCUGAGAUUUAAUAAAAUGAACCAACACUUGGCCUCUUGACAGUCAGCGCACUUUGGAAUGAAGGAGUGUCUGAUGCGCCUCAUCUUCACACAGCUUCACAAAGAUUUGCUUGUUUACUGGACAGGCUUUAGUAAAGUUGACAAUCUUUACAACUUUCUUGAGUGUUUCGUUCAUCAGAGAAGUGUUUGCAGGCCAGGGCUUGAUAUCUUCUCUUUGUGUUGUUGUAGUCAAAUUAGGUGACAAAAGUAGGUCCUGCAUC